rnacentral:tRNA from 1 species
GCCCGAGUAGCUCAGUCGGCAGAGCGAUUCACUCGUAAUGAAUAGGUCAGGAGUUCGAUUCUCCUCUCGGGCU